ensembl:lncRNA
UCAUUUUUCCAACAUCAUCUUCAUCACAAUGACAUUCAGCCAACCUUUAGCUGUUUUUUCUCACUUUGACAAGUUUCCAUGGCUUGUCACGCCAUAAUGAGCAACUUUCUAUCUUGGUGCACUAUAACCCUAAACAACGCAUGUGAGAUCCAAGGGAAAAGUCCUUGUGCCUGGUGGGUGCAAAGAUAGAAGUGGUUUAUUGUGACUUCAGUGCUUCCGUGAAGCUUUGCAUCACACAAAGCUAAACUGGAAAGUUUUAGAACCAGCACUCAUUGAUUCCUUUUGCUAAACUAACAUACUGGUCCUUAAACUAAUACGCUGAUCCCUGUUGCUAAACCAGCCUAUAUCAAACUCACAGGUUAAAUCAGCCUUAGUGAAAGAUCCCAGAUAAAAUUACACUUAAUUCCUUAAUCUUUAAUCUGAAUAACAUCUCGAUUUCUUAGGCAUAAACAAGGAAGGCACUCAAAUAGGAUAUGGCUAUUGAGUAGGCACAGGCAGAGAGAAAUCUCCAGAGUUAUUUUUGUGCUAGAGCUUGCCACAGAUUGUCUAGCUGGAAUCUGUUCUCAGCUGCUCCAAGAUCUGCAGUUUUUAUACUUACUGACAUUCUGACAUCCUUUUAUGCACUAAGAUUAUUCAUCCUCUGAAUUUUUUGUAGUAUUUUUUCCUUCACUGACUCCUAAAAAUAAGUAUGAUAUUUAAGAAAGAAUCUUAAUAUUUGAGUACCACCUAUCGAACUAAUAAUGACUCUGCAAUAUUUUGCAUCUUGUGGACAAAAUCCUUGUGUCUGGGUCUGACUUUCACCCCACCAUUCUUUGCAGAUGUUGCUGGAUUCAUACCUGCACAGAUACCAAAGUGCCCAGAAGAAACAGCUUCAUUCAGAUCAUUCACUUAAAACACUUUCUGAAUCCCAUUUGCGUGGGAAUGUCAAACUAAUUCGACUGUCCGGCAUUAAUCCACGUGGCUGUGAGGCUUGGGAUGUCCCACACAUCUGGGCUACAGGGCCUCAUGCACCAGUUCUCCACAGGAAGGAGCUGACUACUAGUUGUCUUGGAAGAGUCUGAUCUCCUACCAGAGUCGGAACCUGAGGUAAUUGCCUUCUAACUCUCUUCUAAUAAAGAAAUCAUAGCAGAAGACAAGAACAUUUCAUGCAUAUUAAGAAAAUAAAAAUGCAAAUCUAUCAUACUCAGUUCUACUGAAAGAGAGAGAGGAUCUUCUCAGACAUGCAACAGCUUCAAAAGCCUUAGAUCCCAGCUGCAGUGGAGAUGGAGACAGCAUCUGUACUUAGUAAAAUGGUAAAUGUAGCACCUGGGAAAUGUGAAGAAUGGACACUGAUGACUUCUGGAAAGAAGGUUCCUGUUCCACCUAAAGGCCCAUAGCUAUCGAACACGGUGAGGAGGAGCCAGGUUUGUUCUUAAGCCACGCAUCACAGUCAGCAGACCAUUAGGACUGCAGCGAGAAGAAGCAAGUGACAGCAGUGGGCAGCUCCCAACUUCCAGGAAUUGACACCCAUCUGCCAACCUGACCUACUGUCUGCAGAAGUCUGCUCCUUGCUGGGCCCUAAACCUGGAUUGUUGUAGAGAUACUGCUGAGGCUUGUCCAACCCUCUAAAUACAAUCAUAGAAUGACUUGGGUUGGAAGUGAUACUGCCAAGGAUAAUGUGGACAGUAUUGAAAGUGGCCACCAAGCCCUGAAGGAGGUAGUAAAGGGCAGGGGGUCUUUUACCACCUGUUAAGGUCUGCUUGCAGAGCUAAUGUCAGCAACAGUGGUGGAUUAAGAAUUGGUUGGCUGGUUGAAGCCAAAGGGUUGUGAUCAAUGGGUCUGUGUCAGGGUGGAGGCUGGUCACAAGCAGUGUCCCUCGGGGGUCGGUCUUGGGACCGGUGCUCUUCAACAUCUUCAUCAGUGACACAGACAGUGGCAUCGAGUGCACACUCAGCAAGUUUGCAGUUGACACCAAGCUGAGUGGUGCAGUCGAUACGUUGGAAGGAAGGGAAGCCAUCCAGAUGGACCUGGAGAAGUGAGCCCAUGAAAACCUAAUGAGGUUCAAGAAGGCCAAGUGCAGGGUGCUGCGUUUGGGUUGGGGCAAUCCCAGGUAUUUAUGCAGACUGGGGAAAGAUCUCCUUGAGAGCAGCCCUGUGGAGAAGGACUUGGGUGUCCUGGUGGAUGAUAAGCUGGACAUGAGCCAGCAGUGUGCACGUGCAGCCCAGAAGACCAACUGUGUUCUGGGCUGCAUUAAAAAAGGGGUGGCCAGCAGGGAGAGGGAGGUGAUUGUGCCCCUCUACUCAGCUCUUGUGAGGCCCCAUCUGCAGUAAUGCAUCCAGGCCUGGAGCCCCCAGUACAGGAAGGACGUGGAGCUCUUGGAGUGGGUCCAGAGGAGGGCCACUAAGAUGAUUGCUUUCAGAGAGCAAUUUUUCAGAGAUUGCUUUUACUCUCAGUCUUUCACUGAUGCUGCAACUAAAGUCAAGGUAAACAGGUUAUUAUGUUAUGUUUCUUCCAGAUAUGGUAUUGGAACAACGCAGAGGCUACGCUAGUUGCUUCUGACCAGUUUUCAGAUGACCCAAUAAAUGUAUUAGUCUCAAGGCAGUGAUUAGAAAGGAGUAAGCUUACCCUGUUCUGAAGAUAAGGGGUUGCUGGAAAACUCCCAGAAGGAAGCAAUCUCCAGAACUAAAGAACUAAAGAAGUUUCCCUCUUGGCAGACAGCCCUUAAAUCAGGUUAGGGAGAGGUGGACCCAGGGUAGGGUGGGUGAACUGCCUGAACCUGUGCACCCAGGGCUGGCCAUGCCUCUUUAACAGGUGCACCGCUGCUGAUUUGGGCCAUGAUCUAACAAUUCCCAUACAAUACCCAGUAGAUAUUUUCUCAAAUAUGUCUUCAGUUCUCA